GUGCUUGCUUUGGGAGCAUGUAUACUGUAAUUAGAAUGAUCCUAAGACGAUGAGCAUGGCCCCUGCACAAGGAUGACAUGCAAAUUCGUGAAGUGUCCCAUAUUUUA
rnacentral:snRNA from 1 species